AACCAGACUCCUACGGGAGGCAGCAGUGGGGAAUAUUGCACAAUGGGGGAAACCCUGAUGCAGCAACGCCGCGUGAGUGAAGAAGUAUUUCGGUAUGUAAAGCUCUAUCAGCAGGGAAGAAAAUGACGGUACCUGAGUAAGAAGCCCCGGUUAACUACGUGCCAGCAGCCGCGGUAAUACGUAGGGGGCAAGCGUUAUCCGGAUUUACUGGGUGUAAAGGGAGCGUAGACGGCGAUGCAAGUCUGAAGUGAAAGCCCGGGGCUCAACCCCGGGACUGCUUUGGAAACUGUAUGGCUGGAGUGCUGGAGAGGCAAGCGUAAUUCCUAGUGUGGCGGUGAAAUGCGUAGAUAUUAGGAGGAACACCAGUGGCGAAGGCGGUCUGCUGGACAGCAACUGACGCUGAGGCGCGAAAUCGUGGGGAGCCAACAGGAUUAGAUACCCGAGUA
rnacentral:rRNA from 1 species